rnacentral:misc_RNA from 1 species
GUGAAUCAUCAAAUCUUUGAACGCAAAUUGCACUCUUUUCGGUGAGUAUGCCUGUUUGAGGGUCAGUAUCAAUAAAAAUCGGUGUGUUGCCUUGUUGAUACGCUCCGGAGUUUGGGUCAUCUUAAGACCCGUUAGGACUUAAGAGGCUUAAAAUUGACUUUCUUUGCGCACUUUAGAUGCACAGAAAUCAUUUUUUUUUUUUUGCUGUCUUAAUGCUCCAAAUCU